UCACACCCCGUCCCCUCCAUUGACCAUUUCCCUUUUCCCCAUCCCCUCGUCGACUUAUCUCUCUCCCCGGCGGUUUUCCGGUGAUGCUUGCUGCGGCGGCGGCGGCGGGGGCUCUCUCCAGUGGAUCGUGAAGCUCGGCGGCGGGGGCAGUUAUCGUCAUGGCCGUCAGGACCCUCGCCGCCGCCAAGGCCAUGCACCAGGCCGUCCUCGCCGAGACCCAAGGCCGCCAGCAUCGACCUCUCCUUCCAUCGCCUCCGUCCGCAAGUUCGCCGCCGACUUCGCCGCCAGAGGCCUCUCGCUCGGCAUCCUCGUGCUCAUAUAAGCAAGCAUGAUGCAGUUAUGAUCUGGGCAACCGCAGAUAAGUAGUGGUAACUAUGUUUGUAAAUCAAAACUCUUUCACUGCUCGUGAUAAUCUGCAGAACAACUUCAAGUUCAUAAGUCGCAGAGCAAAUUCAAGUUGUGGCAAACAAAAGUUCUGUCUAUUUUGCACUGCUGAAUUCAUGUCUUUUAUUAUCAACUAAAAGCCUGAUCCUUCUGGGAGAUGCAAUGUAUUUAAAAAGUUCACUGAAUCAUCAAACUAUUUCUGGUCAAACAAUCCUUAUUUUGCAGCUUGCCAGCUGAAACAUAUACAGACCUCAAGGCGGCAACUGACGCAUGCCCAUGUCUGAAGUCUGAACCGUGUUGUUUUCAGAAAUGCUGCAGUGUAUGGAGUUUGUGUUUAAGCUCCUUAUCCCACUGGUCUAGAGCUCUAUUCCCAUUAGCUUAUUUAGAUUCCUCAAAUGCAGAAUUCAGGUCAGGUAAGCGCACAUAAUUGCUACAAGUUUAGACCAUCUUGUGUACGGUCAGUUCCAUUGUCGUCAUAUGUGGCUGCUGUUCGGUUUUGGCUUGGUGGUUCCUUGUUCUUAGUUCGACUAUUGGAAUUAUCUCUAGCAUACAUCUUGUUGUUCGAAUGUUGCAUAUUGAUGGUACCCUGUACUUAUGCAUUUAGAAACUACAAGUAUGUGUUAUCUGAAUUAUUAUUAUUUCGCAUUACAACAUUGCAAUCUGUGGAUUAACCUUUUUGUAGUGACGAGUUAAUUGCCUGUCCGUUGCCCGUGCGUUGCAACGUAGCCUUUUUGAAUCUUCAACCAUGAUCUCUCACGCCUCUACAUGUUGCGCUCUCUCACUGUUCCCCUUCUUCAACACUUCUUACCAUUUACUCUUUUGUGUAAACACUUCUUACAGUGUCAAUGUUCAUGAUAGUGUGGAGUAGUCAUAUUUUUCCUUGAAAUCUAAGUCCAGUCUGUCUGUCUUGUUGCCAACUGAAUUUACAGUAUCUAAGUGGUCUCUAAAUUCUGCAGUAUUUAUGUUCAUGACUUACUGAACUAUGUUAUCUUUUUUAACAGUGCCUUGUUCUAAAUAGUUGUAUUUUAGCUCCAUAGCUCUGUGUAAUUUGUCCCUUGAUUUUUUGCCACCUCUGAUUUUUUUCUGUUCCUGUGCUUGCUACUCCUUAAUUCACACAUGUACAGGAGGCACAAGAGGUUAAAUUGAAUCUAACCCUCCAAUUUUAUAUGUUUUGAUCUCAUUUCUGAAUUCCUGUUGUUAUUUUAUCUCAAACAAGUACCCAGAUUUAUAAAGAUCUAGUGAGCAUUGCCAAUGUUGGAGAGCGAGUGAUCUGAAUAGGUUUAUGUGAUUGAUCUGCAUUAACUUUUCUCUCUAACCUUUUUUACAGUACAAAAUGAUAAUGAUUUACAGAUUGCAGUAGUUGUCUUUUUAGUGCAAACUCUGUACUUGUUAAUCAUUCAAGUCUGAACUUGUCUGACAGUUUCGGACUUUCUUCUGUAGUUUCGUUGACUAUGCAUGAAUCCCAUCAUUUAGUUGUAUUUUUUACUGCUAUACACGAAGGCGAUAUGAAAUGCUGGACUUUGAUCCAAAAGCUAUUCAUGAAGAUCUUCAAUAACCGCAAUAGCAACGCCGAUUUAUAAUCUGAAACAAUCUAGAGUGUGUCCUGAAGCUAGUGAUUAUCCUGUUCUAUUUGAUAUCUGCAACAAUCAAGAGUGCACGGUUGCCCGUUUUGUUGCUGAUGGGUGUUCCCUGACCCUGAGCUUCAGGCAACGGCUUACCCUUGCCCUUUCUGAUCAGUGCAACAGGAUCGUGCUCGGUGCUAGAGCUUUGACAUUGAACAAUUCUUCUGAUAGUGUGUCCUGAAGCCUGAAUAAAUUGGGCAAGUUUACGACUAGAUCUGUUCACAAGUUGUUGGAAAAGCCUUUGGCUGGUGCACAUAAUGGGUGGGUCUGGAAAGCCCCCAUCCCUCUUAAAAUCAAAAUCCAUGUGUGGCAGUUGUUUAGAAAUGCUAUAUUAACUCGAGAUAAUCUAAAACUAGAAAUUGGCUGGGUGACCCUCUGUGUUCUUUUUGCAAGUUGCUGAAGAUGUUCAACACUUGUUUUUUGGUUGUGGGGUAGAGUGAUAGGUACUGAGAGCAGUCCUACAAACUUGUGGCGAAGUUUUGCUUG